UACGAAGGGGGCUAGCGUUGCUCGGAAUCACUGGGCGUAAAGCGCACGUAGGCGGGUUCUUAAGUCAGGGGUGAAAUCCUGGAGCUCAACUCCAGAACUGCCUUUGAUACUGGGAAUCUCGAGUCCGGGAGAGGUGAGUGGAACUGCGAGUGUAGAGGUGAAAUUCGUAGAUAUUCGCAAGAACACCAGUGGCGAAGGCGGACUCACUGGCCCGGUACUGACGCUGAGGUGCGAAAGCGUGGGGAGCAAACAGG
rnacentral:rRNA from 1 species